GACGAACGCUGGCGGCGUGCUUAACACAUGCAAGUCGAACGGAAAGGCCCUGCUUUUGUGGGGUGCUCGAGUGGCGAACGGGUGAGUAACACGUGAGUAACCUGCCCUUGACUUUGGGAUAACUUCAGGAAACUGGGGCUAAUACCGGAUAGGAGCUCCUGCUGCAUGGUGGGGGUUGGAAAGUUUCGGCGGUUGGGGAUGGACUCGCGGCUUAUCAGCUUGUUGGUGGGGUAGUGGCUUACCAAGGCUUUGACGGGUAGCCGGCCUGAGAGGGUGACCGGCCACAUUGGGACUGAGAUACGGCCCAGACUCCUACGAGAGGCAGCAGUGGGGAAUAUUGCACAAUGGGCGGAAGCCUGAUGCAGCAACGCCGCGUGCGGGAUGACGGCCUUCGGGUUGUAAACCGCUUUCGCCUGUGACGAAGCGUGAGUGGCGGUAAUGGGUAAAGAAGCACCGGCUAACUACGUG
rnacentral:rRNA from 1 species